rnacentral:rRNA from 1 species
UACGUAGGGUGCAAGCGUUGUCCGGAAUUAUUGGGCGUAAAGAGCUCGUAGGCGGUCUGUUGCGUCGGCUGUGAAAACCCGGGGCUCAACCCCGGGCCUGCAGCCGAUACGGGCAGACUAGAGUUCGGCAGGGGAGACUGGAAUUCCUGGUGUAGCGGUGAAAUGCGUAGAUAUCAGGAGGAAUACCGGUGGUGUAGACGGCUCUCUGGACCGUAACUGACACUGAGACACGAAAGCGUGGGUAGCAAACAGG